GCACUUAGCUCAGCUGGUUCAGAGCGUCUGCCUUACAAGCAGAGGGUCGGGGGUUCGAAUCCCUCAGUGCCC
rnacentral:tRNA from 1 species